UAAUACGGAGGAUCCAAGCGUUAUCCGGAUUCAUUGGGUUUAAAGGGUGCGUAGGCGGAUUUGUAAGUCAGCGGUGAAAUCCUACAGCUUAACUGUAGAACUGCCGUUGAUACUGCAAGUCUUGAGUACAUUUGAUGUGGGCGGAAUGUGUCAUGUAGCGGUGAAAUGCUUAGAUAUGACACGGAACACCAAUUGCGAAGGCAGCUCACAAAACUGUAACUGACGCUGAGGCACGACAGCGUGGGGAUCAAACAGGAUUAGAUACCCUGGUAGUCCACGCCGUAAACUAUGAUCACUCGAUGUUGGCGAUAUACAGCCAGCGUCUAAGCUAAAGCAUUAAGUGAUCCACCUGGGGAGUACGGUCGCAAGAUUGAAACUCAAAUGAAUUGACGG
rnacentral:rRNA from 1 species